rnacentral:lncRNA from 1 species
CCGUGCAAAGACCACUGUUAUGCUGCCUCGUGUGUAGUUGUUGACACGGUUUUCGAUGUAAGUUGGUGUAUGCAGGUCAUCGGCGGAAGUAUCUGUGGGCGGCAGCAGAUAACGAUAUCAAGCAAUAUUCCUGUCAAAGCAGCACUCACGUUUUGCAGCAUCAGGAGGCCCGCAUGAGAGGGGUCUCGGAGUGGGAGUCUCGUGGAAACGAGCAGCACAGUACGAUGCUGUGCAUUUGGCCCCUGUGCAUAACGCAUGGCGUCCAGUGCAUGCACGGAGCACCUUCAUUCGUUGCUCCUUCACUUGGCGGCGAACGCGAGGAACGAUGACUUAUUUGUAUUUUCCCUCCUCAAUGACUGAAUUCUCGCGGCAGACCGCGUAGCCUCUCAGAUGGAAAUUCGUCGUCAAUCAUCGUUUUGUGCCUUCGCUGAGUCUCGACGCACGGCAGACCACGCAUCACAGUGCCCUCCCAAUCGGCCAUAUCUGUGAGCUGGAGAAUAAUAACAGGAUACAGGAGCCAUGUUUGACGAGGUAGUCAUGAGUGACAGCUGGAACAAACUGGCCAAUGUCUUCGCUGACCGCUUCACAUUGUGGUCGUGUUGUUUGUGACAGUGGUAUCGCCGCCCUUGACACCCCGUUCAUCGGUCCCUGCUGGGCUGCUGCCGAUGUGCUACAUCAAGAGCAAGACGCCUGUAGUUUUAUCCUCCAGCGAGGGAAAAACAACCCGACUGCAUCCAACAGAGUUUCCUUGUGAGGAUGUCUAGCGACACCGACGUGCGGAUCCAUAUGGAUAUAAGGAGAUUGAUCCACGUUGACUAAGCGACAAUUCGUGUGAGUCAUUGC